rnacentral:lncRNA from 13 species
AUGCGUCUCAGGUUUCUGUACAGGAUGUAUGUGCUGUGGGGUUUUGUGGCAGUCACAUCCUCUCUGACCAAGGCUGAGAAGAAAAAGGCGACGGGCAGAAGAUCUCGGCAGGUGGACAAUAGUCCGGAGGGGUUGUGGUCUGCCUGGGAGGAGUGGUCAGGAUGUUCUCAGAGCUGUGGAGUGGGCGUGUCACAGAGAACCAGAAAGUGUGAAGCCCCUCCCCGUUCUCUAACACCUCCCCUCUCCCACUCUCUUCCAAACUGGGGGGGUUCAUCGUUCCUCCCAGGGAGGGCCGGGGGUCCCAACCAUGGCUCUGUCAUCUCCGCCAUCCGCCCCUUCUACUCCCCUCAUUACUCUAGGAACCAGCCAUCCCAGUACGGGGGAGGAGGUGGGGGAGGGACAGAGAGACAGCCAGACCCCUUCUAUCCCCCCUCACUCCCAUCAUCCAAUCAGAACCCAGGACUGUCUCUCUAUCGGGACACUCCUAUAGGAGGAGGGGCAGGAGCUGUGCCAGCGCAGUCCUCCAAUCCCACGUCUCCCCUCUAUCGCCCGGAAUUCUCAUCACCCAAUCAGGGACCAGGUUCUGUUUACCGUUCCCCCUCAUUUCCUGCCCCCCCAUCCAGCUACAGCCAACCAGCACAUGCCGCCCGCCAGCCAGCCAAUCCUGGAACAGGGAGGGUGGGAGGAAGUGGGAGCAGAAGGUCAGUGUUGCCCAAUAGGGGGGCUCUGCCUGCUAGUAGGUGAGUAUGAUUGGAUGAUCGUGUUGGCAAGGAAACUGUUUACUGUAGAUGUUGUGUAAAUGUUGUUUUAGACGUCAUGUAAAUGUUAAGACGUUGUUGUUAAGGCGUUAGUAGUAUGAGUUGAGUCAUUCGGUUGAUGUGAGUCAUGGGAGUGUGAGUUGCUGUGCCAUUAGAUCACUAGUUCUGCUCAAUAUCAUGACCUCCAUACAGAUAGACUCCUUAGGGCUCUCACUCUCCUGUGCUCUGCCUCCAACUCUCACUGUAGGCUGUAAGCUGUUGGCUCCAGUUGUGGAGAAUGUCAAUCAUUUUAAGAGCAGAUAAGAGUUCUGUCAUCAUGUGUAAUAUUUCCCUGUCU